UAAAAGGACACCUCCCCGCCUCAGGCGAAACCCCGAAGCCAGUUCCCUAGAAAUCAAGACGGCAGAGGCUGCGGGCAUCAUUAGGGAUGAGAAGGUUUUCAAUGCCGAUGGGAGCGCUUCAGCGUGAACUACGAGACAACAAAUGGUAUCAAAGUUUUGGCGUCUGGGGCUCCCUCUGGUGAGGGGAAGUCUGUGACUCAAGCCGGUUCCUACUCAUACACAGACCCUGAAGGAACUUUCAUAGAAGUGAAGUAUAUAGCUGACGAAGGCGGAUACCAGCCCGAAUCCAGUGCUCUACCCGUGGCUCCAGAAUUCCCUCAUCCAAUUCCACAGUUCGUCCUUGACCAAAUUGCCAGAGCAGCUGAAGAAGAUGCUGCCGCAGCAGCAGCGGCAGCAGCAGCUGAUGCAACCGUCAAAAAUACUGGCAAUGCCGCCGUUCCUAACUCAGUCUCACUUCAGGGUCAGCAGAGCAACACAUACUACAAAGCCCAAUAACUAACAGUUUUAAUUCGCAAGAAAUUCUAUCACAAAUUGUAAUGUUGAUACUGAAACUUUCCGUCAGUAUAUUGCCUAAAGUUGUUCAAGUUUACCUCAAAAUUUAUGACUAAUAUUUAUUACGGCUUUGGUGUGUUAAUGAUCUCGCUUAAUAAACGAAACGCAAGAUA